UACGUAGGGGGCUAGCGUUGUCCGGAUUUAUUGGGCGUAAAGAGCGUGUAGGCGGCCAGGUAGGUCUGCUGUGAAAACUCGAGGCUCAACCUCGAGACGUCGGCGGAAACCAUCUGGCUAGAGUCCGGAAGAGGCGAGUGGAAUUCCUGGUGUAGCGGUGAAAUGCGCAGAUAUCAGGAGGAACACCGAUUGCGAAGGCAGCUCGCUGGGACGUAACUGACGCUGAGACGCGAAAGCGUGGGGAGCAAACAGG
rnacentral:rRNA from 1 species